rnacentral:RNase_P_RNA from 3 species
UGAAGCAGGACAGGUGAUCGCUGGCGUCCGGUUGAUACCGGCCGCGAGAGGAAAGUCCGGGCUCCACAGGGCAAGGAUGGUCGCUAACGGCGACCGGGGGUGACCCCAGGGAAAGUGCCACAGAAAACAAACCGCUCUCCUUUCAAGGAGAGUAAGGGUGAAACGGCGAGGUAAGAGCUCACCAGUUCCCCGGGUGACCGGGGAAGCUCGGCAAACCCCAUCCGGAGCAAGACCAAAAGAGGGGCUUAACGUCAAGGGAUUGCCCGUCCCGCCCCUGGGUAGGUCGCUCGAGGCUGCGGGCAACCGCAGCCCUAGAUGAAUGAUCACCACCUGUUCCGGGGCAACCCGGCUCAGGAGACAGAACCCGGCUUACGGACUGCUUCAUGCC